GGGUGGGUUGCUCAGUGGUUAGAGCGUAGGUUCGUAAACGAAUGUUGCGAGAUCGAAUCCCGCUAGAGCUG
rnacentral:tRNA from 1 species